AAGGAAUGAGAGAGAGACACACAGAGAGAGAGAGAAAGGAUUGGCAGGAUCACCUGGAGGAGGACGUGAAAGAACCUCAUCGCUUCCUGUGAUAAAUGCGGCCCAGCCCUGCUCAACCUGUUCACAUUAUUUUCUUUCCCAGGAAUCUUUCUUGCAAAUCAGUCCAGGGAGUUCCUUCAUCAUAGAUAAUGUUGUUUGCUCAUUUGUUUUAGUCGUAGCUCAAGGAGAGUUGUAUGUCCUCUCUCUCUCUGCGUUUUCAGGCUGGAAUCAUUGGCAGCAGCUAGAGGAUCAGAACAUGAAUGUCCACUGAAGCGGAUGUCUUGGAGGGGUUGGUAGAAAGUUGUUUUGUUGAUGAAGAGAAGAAUAAUGUCUGUAUGUGGGAUGACGGGACCAGGGCUUGGUCUGUCUGUGUUCCUGUUGGCUCUGCUUCAUCUUCAAUGGUCAGCCCAGAAAAACUACACUACGCUACCAAAUAACAUAACAGUGACUGUUGGCAAGCCUGCUGCCUUCCAGUGUGGUGUGUCCCCUCCUCCUAGACAACUCAACUUCACCCUCUAUGGUAGCCAUGGAAACAGAACCCUUAUCUGCCCAGGAGACCACACUGAGUACCUUGCUGCCCAGUCAAUAAAAGGGUACUGUGAUAACACAGGUAAGGAGCUCUUUGCAAUAUGGCUUAUCAGUGGGACGUCCCGCUCUGACAACAACACACGUGUGGUAUGUCAGAGCUCAGAGCACCCACUAGUGGAUGGAUACCUCGGGGUGUACGAGGACGGCAGUUACUUUGCCACCCUCAUUGGCUGCGUCAUCGGUGGUUUCUUUGGUAUCCUCAUCGUCAUUGGUCUGUCAUACACUGUGCUCAGGAGAUCUGAGAGGUUCCAGCUCUGUUUCAGGGGAAAAGACCGUGAGGAUGACAUCACCACAAUGGUGACAAAGGAUUAAACACACACCUUUCAAUAAUGUUGGAUUUACUUAUUCAACUUCUUAAGGUGACACUUUGUGGGGGGUUUUAGCAUAUGCAACAUUGUUAUUGUAAUUUCUAUUUUGUUUUUAUUAUUUGCUUAUCUAGCAGUAUGCAGUAUCUGAUACUAGCAUCAGAUUCCUGUGUUUUUAGUUAACGUAGGAAGUUAAACUAAAUGUUGCAUUUUGAAAACUUCUUACCAAAGACCAUAUAUCAUAUUCUCUCUCCUAAGAUUUUAGUUUUUUUUGUUGCCUUCGUUAGUUCAGCCGCAGUUCUACUAUUUGUCCAGCAGAGAGCAGCCAUGACAGUACAGGAACUGAAGUUCAAUGAUGCCGGGAUACUACUAAAGCGUUUUAAUAAUGUACUAUAAUUGUGCGUCUCUGACUUUUCCUCUACUCCGGGAAUACUGAAGUUUAUGUUCCUUUUUUAUACUGCGUUUUAUAGCUCCAUUAAUUGUUUUACCGUUAUGCUGGCAGCCAGCUAACAUCUGUUUUCACUGCAUAAACAAUAGAGAGCAGGACGUCUGAGUAUCUGUCUAAAGUGUUCCAGUGGAGGAUCAGUAGAGGUGGUGCGAUGUUGACUCAGCUGGCCUGCUAUGCUCUGGUAUGACUCUGACACAGACACAACUCACAUCGCUCCAGAUCCCACAAUAUGCAUUGCUAAUUUGUUUAGAAUUACAUGCAUUCUUUGAGAUGUAUUUAUAUUUUUAUGCAUACUCCCCAUCUUCAGAAUGGCUUGUCAGAGGAUAUGGUCAAAUGCUCAACGACCCUUAGAUGGUUUGUUAAGUGACAAAUAUGCCUCCUAACAAGUAAGAGUAGUGUACGUUUUGAGUGUGCCAGCACUAGCGUGCUUGUGUCAGUGCAUGCAUAAAUGCCUACAUAUCACACUUUUAUUUAAGUCUAAGCUAUGCACCAUAGUUGUGUCAGUGAUGAUGCAGACAUAUAUGAAUACAGUGAGCUCCAAAUGUAUUGGGACAAUGAAAACUGUUGUUGUUGUUUUGGGUAUGAACUCCAGCACUUUGGAUUUUAAACAAUACAAUGACUAUGAGGUUAAAGUCAGCUUUAAUUUGAGUGUAUCCAUAUCAGGUGAACUCUUUAGAAAUGACAACACUUUUUGUACAUAGUCCCCCCAUUUGGACAAAUCCACGUAUAUGUGUAUUAAAGUAGUAGAAAGUUAAGUAUUUGGUCCCAUAUUCACAGCACGUAAUGACUACAUCAAGCGUGUGACUCUACACAUUUGUUAGAUGCUUUUGCUGCUUGUUUUGGUUGUGUUUCAGAUUAUUUUGUGCCCAAUAGAAAUGAAUGGUAAAUAACUUUAAUACUACUUUAAUGUCCCUUAAAAUGGGGAACUAUGGGGAAGCCCUGACCUCAACUCUAUCAAACACCUUUGGGAUGAAUUGAACUAUGCACUUUUCUAAACGGUUCACCCUCAAAUUAAAGCUGCACUUCACCCUCAUAGUCAUAGUAUAAUUUCAAAUCCAACAUGCUGGAAUAAAGAGCCAAAACAACAAAAAAUGUGUCACUGCCUGAAUACUUUUUUUAAAAGACUGAACCUGUUUCAGGGUUGUUGUGCUAAGAAGAGAGAAGGGUUUUUGUGGAGGGAAUGUCUUAUGUUUGUGUUGUACCUGCGUGUUUACUUUACCCUAUAACCUUUGGAUAGCCCACCCUGACUGUCUCUUGUGUGAGCAUACAACAAUCCUUUCCCUGUGGCCACUGGUUCUGUAGACUUUGUAGCUGAGGUAUGCACAGUGAUGUAAAAAGUACCCAAAUGUCAUACUUUAGAAAAAGUAAACAUACCAUAAUAGAAGAGGACUCAAGUAAGUGAGUCACCCUGUAAAAUCCUACUUGAGGAAAAGACAAAAAUUAUUUGGUUUUAAAUAUACUUAAGUAUCAAAAGUCAAUGUAAUCUCUAAAAUGUACUUAAGUAUCAAAAGUCAAUGUAAUCUCUAAAAUGUACUUAAGUAUCAAAAGUAAAAGUAUAAAUCAUUUCACAUUUAUUUUAAAAAGCAAACCAGACGGCAUCAAAAACCUUUUUUGGGGUGGGUGGGGGGUAGCCAGCAGCACCCUCUUACACUCAGAUAUAGUAAUUUACAAACAAAGCAUUUGUGUUUAGUCAGUCCACCAGAUCAGUGGCAGUAGGAUGACCAGGGAUGCUCUCUUGAUAAAUGCGUGACUUGGGCCAUUUUCCUGUCCUGCUAAGCAUUCAAAAUGUAACGAGUACUUUUGGGUGUCAGGGAAAAUGUAUGGAGUAAAAAGUACAUGAUUUUCUUUAGGAAUGUAAGUGAAGUAAAAGCAUAAAUUGCAAAAAAAUAUGCAUAAAUAGUCAAGUGAAUUACAGAUACCCAAAAAAACUAUAUAGGUAGUACUUUAAAGUAUUUUACACCACUGGGUAUGUAGGUAUGCAGUCUUCUAAUCAAUUAGUGAUAGAUGUGUUUGUGUUCUAAAGCUUUUUCCUUCCUCCUCUCUGCUAUAUGGUCAGUUUUGAACAUUGUGGAAAAGUUGGGUUUGUUGUUUACUUAUCAUCAGUAAUAAAUGUCUUAAAACUAUUCUGGUUUCAUGGAAUGCAGUUGUACUUGUUAAGUACAACAAUGGAACACACGUAUGUUGGCCCCAAUACACACACAAACUUGGACACCACAGAAUGGACUUUAUCUCACAGUUUUAUCAGUCCUUCAUGGUGGUAACCCCCUCUUUCUCAUGUCAGGUCUUCAUAUGUCACUGAUGGUCCCUCAAACUAGUAUAUAACCACUCACAUUAUUGUAUUAUCACUCGUGAAGAACUGGAUACGUAUUCCUCCACAG
ensembl:lncRNA